rnacentral:tRNA from 1 species
GUGUAGCUCAGUGGUAGAAUACUUGCCUAGCAUGCACAAGGCCCUGGAUUCAAUCCCCAGCACA